CAGGAAAGCAAAUGCUCACCAGUCUUGCGACGCAGAAAGAGGGAGACGCUAGUACCAUCUACACUAUUACUUCUGCACCACCUGCCUGCUUAGAUGGAGGGAUCAGCGCAGCCAACAAGACCAGGGCCUUUCUUGGUGUCAUCACACGGCGCCCCUGGCGGAAGGGCACAAAUAAGGCCUUAUGAUGGAUACACAGAAUUCAGGGGACAAGGAGUGUAUGCAAAUAGAUGUCCUUUAUGCAAGGUAGGUACGAUGCAGCCAGAGUGCACCGUCAUUACUUGGCUUGUCUGCUGCCUCUUGGGACCGUGUUGGGUGCCCUGUUUCUUCCAACCAAGAUGCUCUAGCUGCGGUUAUGUCGACCAGGGCUGCAGCUGUUGCUGUUGAACGUCUUGACUCCGGAGACUGCCUGAAGGAGAAAUGACAACGUUGGACUUUAGCGUUAUUCGAGUACCUUAUGGCCGUUGGGAUGCUACCCAUUGUGCCUCUAAAACCUAGAGUCUGAAUCGUUUUCUGUUCUUUCAAUUAAUUUUAUGUUAAUUUUGGCGUUUUCAUUAGAGUCGAGAAGAGAGCCUCCAAUAUCUGGUGGCUUUGUUUGAGAAAACUGUUUUGUAAUCGUAUCACAGGCGAAGAUUUGACCGUGCGAAAGUUUCUGCAUAGAAUCAAAAGUGAAAUCAAUAAGACACCUGAAGAGUUAUUGGACUUUCUUUUGUUAAACUGUUUACACCUGAAAAUUUUGAAUAGAGUAAUAAGAAAUAUUGUGAUAGAUUUUAUGCAAAUUUACCUGUGUUUUUGUGUAUGUGUAUGAGUUUCUCAAACCUGAAAAUACAGCGUUGUAAUUCCAGUUUCUUCUCUCCUGAGUUACGCUAAUUCUGAAAAGACGAUCAGACAACACGUAUUGGUAUCGGUUAGUCAGUUCGAGACAAGAGGACAAUUGAAUAAAUUUGACACCUUCCUUUGCUUACGAUUCGAUAUU